ACUCCUACGGGAGGCAGCAGUGGGGAAUAUUGCGCAAUGGACGAAAGUCUGACGCAGCGACGCCGCGUGGAGGAUGAAGGUUUUCGGAUCGUAAACUCCUGUCAAGAGGGAAGAAACCUAUCAUGAAUAAUACUCAUGGUAAUUGACGGUACCUCUAGAGGAAGCACCGGCUAAUUCAGUGCCAGCAGCCGCGGGUAAUACUGAAGGUGCCAAGCGUUAAUCGGAAUCACUGGGGCGUAAAGCGCUCGUAGGUGGGCUUUGUAAGUCAGGUGUGAAAGCCCACGGCUCAACCGUGGAAUUGCACUUGAUACUGCAUCGCUAGAGUAUAGGAGAGGGAAGUGGAAUUUCUGGUGUAGGAGUGAAAUCCGUAGAGAUCAGAAGGAACACCCGUGGCGAAGGCGACUUCCUGGACUAUUACUGACACUGAGGAGCG
rnacentral:rRNA from 1 species